UACAGAGGUCCCAAGCGUUGUUCGGAUUCACUGGGCGUAAAGGGUGCGUAGGUGGCAGUGUAAGUCUGAUGUGAAAGCUUCGAGCUUAACUCGAAAAUGGCAUUGGAUACUAUAUUGCUGGAGGUUUGGAGGGGGGACUGGAAUUCUCGGUGUAGCAGUGAGAUGCGUAGAUAUCGGGAGGAACACCAGUGGCGAAGGCGACUUCCUGGCCUGUUCUUGACGCUGAGGCGCGAAAGCUAGGGGAGCAAACGGG
rnacentral:rRNA from 1 species